AACGAGCGCUGGCGGCAUGCCUAACACAUGCAAGUCGAACGAGACCUUCGGGUCUAGUGGCGCACGGGUGCGUAACGCGUGGGAACCUGCCUUUAGGUUCGGAAUAACUCAGAGAAAUUUGAGCUAAUACCGGAUGAUGUCUUCGGACCAAAGAUUUAUCGCCUUUAGAUGGGCCCGCGUUGGAUUAGCUAGUUGGUGGGGUAAAGGCCUACCAAGGCGACGAUCCAUAGCUGGUCUGAGAGGAUGAUCAGCCACACUGGGACUGAGACACGGCCCAGACUCCUACGGGAGGCAGCAGUGGGGAAUAUUGGACAAGGGGCGAAAGCCUGAUCCAGCAAUGCCGCGUGAGUGAUGAAGGCCUUAGGGUUGUAAAGCUCUUUUACCCGAGAUGAUAAUGACAGUAUCGGGAGAAUAAGCUCCGGCUAACUCCGUG
rnacentral:rRNA from 1 species